CGUCAGGGACUACGGAUUGAAGGCAGACAAACCCCGCCAGGGCCGGAAGGCAGCAACGGUAGUCCGACCUUCCUUGUCGUAGCUCUCUGACGGCU
rfam:Chthoniobacter flavus Ellin428 ctg76, whole genome shotgun sequence.